AUGAACGCUGGCGGCGUGCCUAAUACAUGCAAGUCGAGCGAACAGACGAGGAGCUUGCUCCUCUGACGUUAGCGGCGGACGGGUGAGUAACACGUGGAUAACCUACCUAUAAGACUGGGAUAACUUCGGGAAACCGGAGCUAAUACCGGAUAAUAUAUUGAACCGCAUGGUUCAAUAGUGAAAGACGGUUUUGCUGUCACUUAUAGAUGGAUCCGCGCCGCAUUAGCUAGUUGGUAAGGUAACGGCUUACCAAGGCAACGAUGCGUAGCCGACCUGAGAGGGUGAUCGGCCACACUGGAACUGAGACACGGUCCAGACUCUUACGGGAGGCAGCAGUAGGGAAUCUUCCGCAAUGGGCGAAAGCCUGACGGAGCAACGCCGCGUGAGUGAUGAAGGUCUUCGGAUCGUAAAACUCUGUUAUUAGGGAAGAACAAAUGUGUAAGUAACUAUGCACGUCUUGACGGUACCUAAUCAGAAAGCCACGGCUAACUACGUG
rnacentral:rRNA from 1 species